UCUCUCCCCUGCAGAGCUGCAGAGAGGAACGUGGCGAGCAGUUAAAGAAACUGGCGGAUUAGUCCUUGAUCACACCAACUAACCCCGGUCUUAGACCGAAUUAGACCAAGGGUUUAGCUAGCGAGCGGUGUCAGUCAAAGAUGCAGCACAUGAUGCCCAGUUGGAACCAUGCAGAAAAACAACUAGAAGCAGCACAUGAAUUCCCACGGCGGGGUGGUUCUCUCUAAUUAAGCCCACGUUAACUCCCACAGUCUCUCCUCGAUCCUUGCUCUAAUCCACACACACCACGCUCAGUGUACGGUUGUGUCUUCCUCCUCCCUCGCAGGCUCGCACGCUAGCUAGCUGCAGCAGGAUCGAGCCUGCGGUUGUCUCUGCCGGAUGAUGGGGUGUUGCAGCAGGAACAGGAUUGUUUGUCCAGUGCUGCUGCUGCUGCUAGUGGUGGUGGUGCUUCUCCUGCUGAGCCCGUGUUCAGCUGAGCUGAACGCUGCAGAGGUACGAGUACGACCGGCACGGCGGCUGCUGGUGUCGCGGCCGUCGACGAGCCGGCAGAAGGCCGACCAGCAGCAGCAGAAGAUGAGGGUCGGUGGCGGGAGCACGCCUUUCAAGCAGGCGGCCGCCAGCUUCGGCCGGAGGAUACCCAGAUCCGGCCGGAAUCCCAUCCAGAACAGAUGAGAGAUCGAGGGUACGGACGGUCGGUCGUCCUAUGAUGAGUACGUCCACGGCCGGGCCUCGGUAUGUGAAGUGAAGGGCUGGUCUGGAAGAGCGCUCGAUAUCGAGGAGCUCAGAAGUACCACACUGCACACAGCACGAUCGAUCGAGCUUUGGAUAUUCCUUACCUGCGUCUGCUUGUGUGUACAAUGCAUGCAAGCUGGUACUAGCUAAACAGCCUAUUCACUUGAGCUUAUCAAGCGAAAUCUGGCAGCUAUUCAGCAGUGUUUUUCUCUCUACAACGAAUCAGCCCAGCAACACUGUUGAGGCGGACGGCCACCGGCAGCUCGCGCGCGAAUCCCUGGCGGAACGGGACCGACCGCUUCGCCACUGCAGCCGUAGCCGUGCGGGAGGGCGGGCGUGCAGCGACGGUGUCCGGCGGCCGGCAGGCAGAGUCGCAGAGAGGAGGGAACUCGACUUGCACGAGCUGGACCGGGCCCGGGCCCGGGCCCGGGCCGGACCUUCUGGGAAGAAAAGCAGCCUUGGGUUCUUUAUGCCAUAUAUAUAUAUGCAUGUGGGCUGCACCAGAUUUUUGAUGGGGUUCAUAGAGUAUAUAUACUUGUUCGUCGCCAAGAAAAAAGAGUAUAUAUACAUAUACUUGUAAGACAGAAGUUUCAUGUUUCAACUUAUGAUGAUCACAAAGAUGAAUAGAUGAUCGAUCAUCUAA